rnacentral:rRNA from 1 species
ACUCCUACGGGAGGCAGCAGUGAGGAAUCUUCCGCAAUGGGCGAAAGCCUGACGGAGCAAUCUCGCGUGGAGGAUGACACCUUUCGGGGGCGUAAACUCCUUUUAUGAGGGAAGAAAUUUUGACGGUACCACAUGAAUAAGGGACGGCUAACUACGUGCCAGCAGCCGCGGUAAUACGUAGGUCCCAAGCAUUAUCCGAAAUUACUGGGCGUAAAGCGAUCGAAGGCGGUCUGUUAAGUCUGGUGUUAAAGCCCUCAGCUCAACUGAGGAAUCGUACUGGAAACUGGCAUGACUAGAGGUAUGGAGAGGUAGCUGGAAUUUCUAUUGUAGGGGUUAAAUCCGUAGAUAAUAGAAGGAACACCAAAAGCGAAGGCAGGCUACUGGCCAUCACCUGACGCUGCGCGAUCGAAAGCGUGGGGAGCGAAACGGAUUAGAUACCCGUGUAGUCCACGCCCUAAACGAUGAAUACUCGGUGUUCGGAGGUAAUCCCUCUGAGUGCCCAAGCUAACGCAUUAAGUAUUCCGCCUGGGGAGUACGGUCGCAAGAUUAAAACUCAAAGGAAUAGACGGGGAUCCACACAAGCAGUGGAGCAUCUGGUUUAAUUCGAUAAUACGCGGGGAACCUUACCGGGGCUUGACAUCCUUAGAACUCUCUAGAGAUAGAGCGGUGCCCUUCGGGGAACUAAGUGACAGGUGCUGCAUGGUUGUCGUCAGCUCGUGCUUUGAAGUGUUCGGUUAAGUCCGUUAACGAGCGCAACCCUCAUCGUAUGUUAUUCAUUUCAUGCGAGACUGCCAGGUUUAACCUGGAGGAAGGUGAGGAUGACGUCAAAUCAGCAUGGCCCUUAUGUCCCGGGCUACACAGGUGCUACAAUGGGAGGGACAAAGCGUAGCCAAGCCGCAAGGCGGAGCCAAUCGCAUCAAACCCUCUCUCAGUUCGGAUUGGGGUCUGCAACUCGACCCUAUGAAGUUGGAAUUGCUAGUAAUCGCGCAUCAGCAAUGGCGCGGUGAAUAUGUUCCUGGAUCUUGUACUCACCGCCCGUCAA